AUGUGGUGUUUAGGUCUGCGCUUUCGUGUGCUGCUUCGUUCCAAGUCCAAACUUGAAUAUGGCUUAUGAAUGGCCCAGAGAGGGUGAAAGGCCCGUAUGGACGGAGUGGUGCUUGACUGCGUAGGCUGUGGAGUCGGGUUGUUUGAGAAUGCAGCCCAAAGUUGGUGGUAAACUCCAUCUAAGGCUAAAUACUGGCACGAGUCCGAUAGCGAACAAGUACCGUGAGGGAAAGUUGAAAAGUACUCUGAAGAGAGAGUAAACAGUGCGUGAAACCGCUUAGAGGCAAACGGGUGUAGUCAAGCUUCAAGUUGUGAGAAAUUGGCGGAUCAGAAUGGCGUGAGCUUGAGCACAUUAGAACUGAUUAGAGGUGCGUCGGAAGGCGUGUUCGACUCGCAAGGGUCGGAUGUGUGGAGUGUCAUAUGAUGCCGCAUACCUUUGAUUAGUGUGUUCUGCUGGUCCGUUUACUUUCUCAUAGCGUAUGUCACGACCGUCGCAGCUGUCGGUCUGCUUCGCCUAAACCGUAGCGUGAGUAGCCUUGUGUUUCUUGCGUUUCGGGGGCAGGUAGCUAGCUCGGUUCUGCCGGGUUAGUGUAAUCGCCGGGCGGAGUGGUAUCUGUGCAGUACGACGGGGAUAGCGGUGUGGUUGUGCUAAUCAUGUCGGCAUGGCGUGAGUCUGGCUUUAUGUUGCUAUCAAGAUGGCCUUAGAGUGGCUCUGCUGUGGUUUGGCGUGUGGUGGCAACUGCAUUUUUGUGCCUAUAGUCUGUGCGUAGAGUAGACGAUCCACCCGAACCGUCUUGAACACGACCAGAGUUACAUGUGCGCGAGUUCAAUGGUAGUAAUUACAUACGACCUAAGCAAUUGAAAGUAA
rnacentral:rRNA from 1 species